rnacentral:rRNA from 1 species
UUUGGUGCCUUCGGGAACUCUGAGACAGGUGCUGCAUGGCUGUCGUCAGCUCGUGUUGUGAAAUGUUGGGUUAAGUCCCGCAACGAGCGCAACCCUUAUCCUUUGUUGCCAGCGAUUCGGUCGGGAACUCAAAGGAGACUGCCAGUGAUAAACUGGAGGAAGGUGGGGAUGACGUCAAGUCAUCAUGGCCCUUACGAGUAGGGCUACACACGUGCUACAAUGGCAUAUACAAAGAGAAGCGACCUCGCGAGAGCAAGCGGACCUCAUAAAGUAUGUCGUAGUCCGGAUUGGAGUCUGCAACUCGACUCCAUGAAGUCGGAAUCGCUAGUAAUCGUGGAUCAGAAUGCCACGGUGAAUACGUUCCCGGGUCUUGUACACACC